rnacentral:rRNA from 1 species
GACGAACGCUGGCGGCGUGCCUAAUACAUGCAAGUCGAACGCAGUGGGGACGGGUGAGUAACACGUGGGUAACCUCCCAUCAGAGGGGAUAACACUUGGAAACAGGUGCUAAACCGAUACUGAUGGAUGGACCCGCGGUGCAUUAGCUAGUUGGUGAGGUAACGGCUCACCAAGGCCACGAUGCAUAGCCGACCGGAGAGGGUGAUCGGUCGCACUGUGUCUGUGACACGGCCCAGAUUUCGAGGGGGGGCAGCAGUAGGGAAUAUUCUGCAAUGGACGAAAGUCUCACCGAUCCACGCCGCGUGAGUGAAUAAGGUGUUCGGAUCGUAAAACUCUGUAGUUAGGGAAGCGGUAUCUGAACAGAAAGCGACGGCUAACUACGGGCCAGCAGCCGCGGUAAUAC